ensembl:lncRNA
GUUUAGUUAGUAAGAGGUUUUCCAGCAUUAAAGCUGCGCUUUAAGUUGAAUUUCUGUGUCUGAGUCCUGCAUUUUGGAUCCACCACUCCUGCUUGCCCACCUGCCACACAGCCAACCAUGACAGAAGGAGAGCCUGUCGCCGAAGUUUAAAUAUAUUUUUAAAAACUGUGGCUAGGCCUCCACCCUUCCCUGAAAGUCGCGGUGAGCUGAAACAGUCGAGAGGAAGGAAUUCAGAGAAGGAAGAGAGCUCACCAGAGCGAAUCCAGGUUUCUGUCAGGAACAGAACAGGUGCAGGAGUACCACAAUUUUUCAGGGUGUCAGGUCUUUUAGUGAGCUUUGAGCUCCACGAGAAAAGACCAGUGAUUCCAAUUGAUGGCGAGCCUCCCAGUGUGAUUUCCAGGAUCCAGAUCUACACAACAAGUCAGACGGCCAAUGGUUUAUCUGGUUUCUGGUAGGAUUCCACCAGUCACCCCGAC